GUCGGGCAUAAAUCAAGUAAAUCUAUACACCAGCCCGGGCACAGGGUCUACGCAAUGAUACCCUGUAGGUGCACCAUUUAGGUGUAGGUGCUGCCUAGUAUCCCAGUAGAACCAAAGGGGUCAAUUGACCCCUCUCGAACUAGUUCUGUGCUGUUUACCGCGCAGCUAGCUACGCAACUAGUUACGCGGGAAGCGAACGCGGACCAGGUCUUCGUCGACUACAAUGUACUAGUUCUGCAACUAGUUACGCGGGAAGCGAACGCGGACCAGUCGAAAAAGAACCGAAAAACGAAGCCGCCUUCGGUUUGUUUUUGAAGGCGGCAAAUAACCGCAAUUCCGUGGAGUUACAGUGCCCACCACUCAGCUAGUUUUUACCGAGCCACGACAUGCAAUAAGCACCGAAAUGGUAAGUUAAUCGUGAUAUUUUACUGUAGUUGCGCUCGUGGAAUGAAAGAGACAAGAAUUUACACAAACAAAAUGCAUUUGUUUUCCUCGUUUGCUUUAUGCGUUGAUUUUGUUCACUUCUGUACAACAUCUAAUCGCUGGAAGAGUCUUUUGUGUAAACAUUUAUUAAAAAAGUGGAAAAGAAUUAAUAAAUAAAUCAAAUUAAUAUAAACAGAAUGUAUUCCGCCUGGCGAUGAGCCCCCCGAAAACACUGUGCGGAAGGCAAUGCAAAGGAUGAAGAAAAGGGUGUUUAAGAAGAAGUGUCUUGCCAAAAACCAGGAGUAGGCUAAGCAUCAUAUAAUUAAAAAUUAUUCGUUAUAAUGAAA